AUACGGAGGGUCCAAGCGUUAUCCGGAUUUAUUGGGUUUAAAGGGUGCGUAGGCGGUUUUGUAAGUUAGAGGUGAAAUCCCAAGGCUCAACCUUGGAACUGCCUCUAAAACUACGGAACUAGAAAAUGGUUGCUGUGGGCGGAAUGUGUAGUGUAGCGGUGAAAUGCUUAGAGAUUACACAGAACACCGAUUGCGAAGGCAGCUCAAAAAGCAAAUUUUGAAGCUGAGGCACGAAAGCUUGGGGAGCAAACAGGAUUAGAUCCCCUGGUAGUCCACGCCGUAAACGAUGAUAACUCGCUGCCGGCGAUAUAGUGUCGGUGGCUUAGCGAAAGCGUUAAGUUAUCCACCUGGGGAGUACGUUCGCAAGAAUGAAACUCAAAGGAAUUGACGGGG
rnacentral:rRNA from 1 species